AUGGUAAUAAGAUCGAUCCAGACAGACACGAACUCAGAAUCACCAGCCCGGCGGCUACACGAGGAGGUUGAGCAGAGGAGGGUCGGACGAUCCGGCGGAACAGUCUCCUCGGUCGUCGCCGCCACGAUGAUCCUCCAGCGGCGGCGGGCAGUUCAAGUCCAGCGCCUCCUCCUCCUGCUGGUGGUGCUCAUCCUGCACGCGCGGCGCCUGUGCCUCGGCCUGCUCGUGCCAGCGCAUGUGCCCGCCUGGCGCCUCCUCCUCCUCCGCACGCGCCUGAGGCGGCUGUGCGCCGGCCUGCUUGUGCCCGCCCAGCGCCACCUCCUCCUCCACAGGCACCUGCGUGCCGGCCUCCUUGUGCCGGCGCAUGUGCACUGCGCCCAGCGCCUCCUCCACGUGCGCCUGUGGCUCAACCUGCUUGUGGCGGCGCAUGUGGCCGCCGAGCGCCUGGCCCAUGGAGAACUCGAGCCCGCAGACGGCGCACUCGUGGUGCGGCCGAGGCUUGCGAGUAACCGGCCGCUGCUGGCGCGCCUGCAGCCGGGUGUGGCCCGUCCGGUGCCCGCCCAGCGCCUGGAACGUCGGGAACCGCCGGCUGCACGUCCGGCACACGAACGCGCCCCCGUCACCCUCGCCGCCGCCCCCGGCCGGCCGCCUGCGGGAGCCGGUCGCCGCCCGAUCGUCCGCGCCGGGCGUGGCGGGCGGCGUGAGCUGCUGCGCGUCGGCGUGCGCGCUCUCGGCCCCGGCGGCGGCGCCCACGUCCCACCGCGGCAGCUUCAUGGUGUCCCGCGGGAAACGUUCCUCCCGGGCGAUCUUUUUAACGUCGCGGCUGGCUUCUCCUCUCUCUCUCUCUCGGUGGGUACGUGCGUGCGUGACCGGCCCGCACCAGCACACACGCGCUGCUCUCCGAUUAGCUAG
rnacentral:rRNA from 1 species